AAUAACACACAAAGAAUGAAAUGUUGCCAUGUUUUUAUUGAACACACCAUGUAAACAUUCACAGUGCAGGUGGAAAAAGCAUGUGAACCCCUAGACUAAUGACAUCUCCAAGAGCUAAUUGGAGUGAGAUGUCAGCCAACUGGAGUCCAAUCAAUGAGAUGAGAUUGGAGGUGUUGGUUACAGCUACCCUGCCCUAUAAAAAACAC